CCUACGGGUGGCAGCAGUGGGGAAUAUUGCACAAUGGAGGGAACUCUGACGCAGCGACGCCGCGUGAGUGAAGAAGUACUUCGUUAUGUAAAGCUCUAUCAGCAGGGAAGAAAGUGACGGUACCUGAAAAAUAAGCUCUGGCUAAAUACGUGCCAGCAGCCGCGGUCAUACGCCUGGAGCAAGAGUUAUCCGGAUUGACUGGGUGUAAAGGGAGAGUAGGUGGCAGAGCAAGUCCGAUGUGAAAACCCAAAGCUCAACUGUGGGAAUGCUUUAGAGACUGCGCGGCUAGAGUGCAGGAGAGGCAAGUGGAAUUCGUGGUGUAGCGGUGAAAUGCGUAGAUAUUAGGAGGAACACCAGUGGCGAAGGCGGCUUGCUGGACUGUAACUGACACUGAGGCUCGAAAGCGUGGGGAGCAAACAGGAUUAGAUACCCCGGUAGUC
rnacentral:rRNA from 1 species